AUAUAUAUAUAUAUACAUAACCAUUCCAAGGCAUAACAAUCUAAAAUCUAUCCCGGAUAAAUUUUUGUUAGAUUUUU
rnacentral:sRNA from 1 species